rnacentral:rRNA from 1 species
UACAGAGGGGGCGAGCGUUGUUCGGAAUUACUGGGCGUAAAGGGCGCGUAGGCGGCCAACUAAGUCAGACGUGAAAUCCCUCGGCUCAACCGGGGAACUGCGUCUGAUACUGGAUGGCCUGAAUUCGGGAGAGGGAUGCGGAAUUCCAGGUGUAGCGGUGAAAUGCGUAGAUAUCUGGAGGAACACCGGUGGCGAAGGCGGCAUCCUGGACCGAGAUUGACGCUGAUGCGCGAAAGCCAGGGGAGCAAACGGG